ACCCAGACUCCUACGGGAGGCAGCAGUGAGGAAUAUUGGGCAAUGGGCGCAAGCCUGAACCAGCCAAGUCGCGUGAGGGAUGACGGUCCUAUGGAUUGUAAACCUCUUUUGUCGGGGAGCAAGGCCCGCCACGUGUGGCGGGAAGGAGAGUACCCGAAGAAAAAGCAUCGGCUAACUCCGUGCCAGCAGCCGCGGUAAUACGGAGGAUGCGAGCGUUAUCCGGAUUUAUUGGGUUUAAAGGGUGCGUAGGCGGAAGGUUAAGCCAGGGGUAAAAUGCCGGUGCCAAACCCCGGCCUGCCGUUGAAACUGCAUCCCUUGAGUGCGCGAGAAGGAUGCGGAAUGCGUGGUGUAGCGGUGAAAUGCAUAGAUAUCCCGCAGAACUCCGAUUGCGAAGGCAGCAUACCGGCGCGCAACUGACGCUCAUGCACGAAAGCGUGGGGAUCGAACAGGAUUAGAUACCCCCGUACAG
rnacentral:rRNA from 1 species